UGCAGUCGAGCGGUAGCACAGAGAGCUUGCUCUCGGGUGACGAGCGGCGGACGGGUGAGUAAUGUCUGGGAAACUGCCUGAUGGAGGGGGAUAACUACUGGAAACGGUAGCUAAUACCGCAUAACGUCGCAAGACCAAAGAGGGGGACCUUCGGGCCUCUUGCCAUCAGAUGUGCCCAGAUGGGAUUAGCUAGUAGGUGGGGUAACGGCUCACCUAGGCGACGAUCCCUAGCUGGUCUGAGAGGAUGACCAGCCACACUGGAACUGAGACACGGUCCAGACUCCUACGGGAGGCAGCAGUGGGGAAUAUUGCACAAUGGGCGCAAGCCUGAUGCAGCCAUGCCGCGUGUAUGAAGAAGGCCUUCGGGUUGUAAAGUACUUUCAGCGGGGAGGAAGGUGUUGUGGUUAAUAACCRCRGCAAUUGACGUUACCCGCAGAAGAAGCACCGGCUAACUCCGUGCCAGCAGCCGCGGUAAUGCGGAGGGUGCAAGCGUUAAUCGGAAUUACUGGGCGUAAAGCGCACGCAGGCGGUCUGUCAAGUCGGAUGUGAAAUCCCCGGGCUCAACCUGGGAACUGCAUUCGAAACUGGCAGGCUAGAGUCUUGUAGAGGGGGGUAGAAUUCCAGGUGUAGCGGUGAAAUGCGUAGAGAUCUGGAGGAAUACCGGUGGCGAAGGCGGCCCCCUGGACAAAGACUGACGCUCAGGUGCGAAAGCGUGGGGAGCAAACAGGAUUAGAUACCCUGGUAGUCCACGCUGUAAACGAUGUCGAC
rnacentral:rRNA from 1 species